GUCAUGUGUAAACCUUCUGAAG
rnacentral:piRNA from 1 species